rnacentral:lncRNA from 1 species
GUGCAGAAUUCCACCAGACUUUCAAAGAAAAGCUAGUUCCAAUACUCCUCAAACUGUUCUACAAAAUAGAAACAGAAGGAACCCUGCCAAACUCAUUCUAUGAGGCCACAAUCAUCCUGAUACCUAAACCACACAAACACUCAAAAAAGGAAAGAGAAUUUCAGACCAAUUUCUCUUAUGAACAUUGAUGCAAAAAUACUCAAUAAAAUACAAACAGAAUCCAGGAAAAAAAUUAAACAUAUCAUCCAUCAAGAUCAAGUAGGCUUCAUCACAAUGAUGCAGGAAUGGUUCAAUCUAUGGAACUUCAUCAAUGUAAUACAAUCAUAUUUAUAAAAUCCAACGCUCCUCAUAUUAAAUGAUUUACAGAAAUUAGGGAUAGAAGAGGCAUACCUAAUCAUAAUCAAAGCAAUAAACAGCAAGCCAAUAGCCAACGUCAAACUUAAUGCAGAGAAACUUAAAUCCCACUCUCUCCUUAUCUAUUCAAAAUAGUAUUUGAAGUUCUAGCCAGAGCAAUAAGACAACUAAAGGAGAUGAAGGGCAUACAAAUUGUAAAAGAAGUCAAAGUAUCACUAUCUAUGGAUGAUAUGCUAGAAUACAUUAGCAACCCCAAAAAUUCUUCCAGAGAACUCCUAUAUCUGAUAAACAGCUUCA